rnacentral:tRNA from 1 species
GGGCUUGUAGCCUCAGUUGGUUAGAGCGCGCGCUUGAUAAGCGUGAGGUCGGAGGUUCAAGUCCUCCCAGGCCCACCA